rnacentral:rRNA from 1 species
AACUUUCAACAACGGAUCUCUUGGUUCCAGCAUCGAUGAAGAACGCAGCGAAAUGCGAUAAGUAAUGUGAAUUGCAGAAUUCCGUGAAUCAUCGAAUCUUUGAACGCACAUUGCGCCCCCUGGUAUUCCGGGGGGCAUGCCUGUCCGAGCGUCAUUGCAAAUCCUUCAAGCACG